UUUACUUCUCCCUUCUGCUUGGCCGCCGCCGCCUCGCCCCUCCUCCCCUUAUUUCCACCAUCAGUUCUGAAGAAUGAUUUUUUGUUGUUCUGGAUCCAUGCUAAUCGGAGGAAGAAGCAAGCCACAGGGAGAGAUUAUGUAUGACGGCUUGGAUCCGUAAGAUCCCCAAAUCCAACUUCCCACUCCAAUCCCAAUCCCAGUCUCAACCUAAUCGUGGAAUUGAAUUGAAGGUGCAGGCACAUAGCACCAACAUCAGAUCAGAAACACAGAGAAGCAACAGAGUCUGACACUGCACCAAACGCUUCACUAAGUCAGUCCAACUUUGUCUAGUCUAAACCAGUCCAGCUUAGUCCCUGAAGUUAGUCCAGUCCUAGAUAGUCCGGUACAACAAACACACCCUAAGAGUCCUAGUAGCGCCACUUGUAUUCCUAAGAUCCUCUGGGCCCGAGCCUAGUAACGAGGAUUAUUGACUGAAUUAGUAGUCAUCGACUGCCUCCAAUUUUAAGAACGAUGUGUUCUAUGGUGUCAUGGUGUCAAGCGGGAGAGAAGGGAUUUCAAGACUUUGAAUGAAAUCACCCUCACAGAGCAUCUGCCUAGCCUCGACAACUCUCACAAAAUGGAGUCUGGCAUUCUAAUAGAAAAAGAAGUGAAGAACAUUAGAGAAACGGGCAGGAGCCAUGGGAUGAUCCAUAGAACAAGGAGAUGGACGGCCGAGGAGUAGAUUGUUCAUAGAAUAAGGGGAUGGACGGCCAAGGAUGCUUACGCCGUAGCUUCGGCCCUAUACAAAUUGUAACGAGAAGUGUUACAACCACACAAAAAGGACAAUCCUUGCACAAAACCUAAAACCACUAAGACAUCUAGCUAGUAGUAGUUAAAACAGAUAGACGAACACGGUAUGUACACAGAUGUAAAUAUACAUGUAGUAUGUUCAUCGGGUUCAAAAUGUGAUACCUGC
rnacentral:sRNA from 1 species